CUACGGGAGGCUGCAGUGGGGAAUUUUGCGCAAUGGGCGAAAGCCUGACGCAGCGACGCCGCGUGAGGGAAGAAGGCCUUCGGGUCGUAAACCUCUGUCAGAGGGGAAGAAAUUAUCAGUGGUUAAUACCCACUGGUAUUGACGGUACCCUCAGAGGAAGCAUCGGCUAACUACGUGCCAGCAGCCGCGGUAAUACGUAGGAUGCAAGCGUUGUUCGGAAUCACUGGGUGUAAAGAGCGCGUAGGUGGCCUGAUAAGUCAGUGGUGAAAGCCCUCGGCUCAACCGAGGAACUGCCCCUGAUACUGUCAGGCUUGAGUACGGGAGAGGAAAGCGGAAUUCCUGGUGUAGCGGUGAAAUGCGUAGAUAUCAGGAGGAACACCGGUGGCGAAGGCGGCUUUCUGGACCGAUACUGACACUGAGGCGCGAAAGCGUGGGUAGCAAACAGGAUUAGAUACCCCGGUAGUC
rnacentral:rRNA from 1 species